rnacentral:misc_RNA from 1 species
GAACUGCGAUAAGUAAUGUGAAUUGCAGAAUUCAGUGAAUCAUCGAGUCUUUGAACGCACAUUGCGCCCCCUGGCAUUCCGGGGGGCAUGCCUGUCCGAGCGUCAUUGCUGCCCUUCAAGCCCGGCUUGUGUGUUGGGUCGUCGUCCCCUCCGGGGGACGGGCCCGAAAGGCAGCGGCGGCACCGCGUCCGGUCCUCGAGCGUAUGGGGCUUUGUCACCCGCUCGAUAAGGACCGGCCGGGCGCCAGCCGGCGUCUCCAACCUUUUUUUCUCAGGUUGACCUCGGAUCAGGUAGGGAUACCCGCUAAACUUAAGC